GUCAAACUUUAGCCAAGAAGACACAUGCUUGGGACAAGUACAACUUGGAAUUUGUCACUAGGGCUUGGGGGUCUCUCAAAGCUCUCCCAUACAUACCUGGAACGAUGUCUCCCGACACCUGAGCAAAUGAGCCUGGGACAAAGGACAACGGAUCCAGCCAGAACUGCGCCAGGGAGGGAAGGGUGACUGAGGUCACACACAGCCUGUCGCCAUCUCUCUUAUGUACGUCCCGCGCCUGACGAUGUGGCUUCUAACAUGAAGACACAGCGGAGGGCUGCUGGCAAACAGCCUGUCAUGUAGUCAUUAGGAACAGGGACACUCCAGAGAGAAAAACAAAUUCUAAGAGACAGGCAUCUCAAGAAAACCAAGACUCUGCAAACUGCAGACACCAGCCAAGGGGCGGGUUUCACCUGGGCCCGUGUGUAAAGGGCUGCUGGCUGCCUACUGAUCUUUCCUGUCAUACCUGGGCAAGAGUGACAACAAAUCACUGUCAGCCACCCCAUCUCUGAAUGCAGUGGACGGCAGUCCAUGAGCACACCUGGGGACCUUCCUACUUAGAUUACCGGGAGGAUGAAGAGAAGAGAAAAUUGAUUUAUCGAUGCCAUGCACCCUGGACGGAAUCAACACACAGGAGUUUGACACUUAAGACCCCGAUCAAAUAGCAGUGGGAACUGCUAGUCUGGUGGCAGCGACUCCCCGAGUGACCUGGGGCAAGUCACUUUACUUCUUUGCUUCGGGGCUCCACAUCUGGAAAAAAGGGGACUGCCUUGUUCAGUGACCACAAGGGGAGACUGUGGGGCUCAGCUCAGGUGGCUAAUGAAAUCCAGGCGGGGCUUGGCCCCCUUGUGGGUGCUCUGCUGGGGCAGUCCCAGCAUCUUAGAGAUCCGCCAGAGGGUGUGAAGCAAACUCUGCCACGCUCCAACACGAGGUCCUACUAACAGGCCGUCUUUGAACAAGAUGGACGGCACAUUCACCCUCUCAGGAUAGAUUUGUGCUUGUAAAUACUUCCAAAUACACUGGAAAGGGAGCGCCACACAAACCUAAGAAAAGUGGUAAGGGUCAACUGGUGUUAGAGGAGUAUACCCCUGUGCCUCUGAAAUGGUUUACAGAGCCCGGUUCUGAUGCACACGAAAGACUCCAAGCCCAUCUCCCCACAGUAUGUGGCUUGAGGUAAUGCUUACCUGCUCUAUGUGAAGGUUGUUCUCACCUUCUGCAUUUUUGUUUUAAGUUCAGGAACACGUUAGCUGGGAAUUUCUAAGUUGUCCUGCAACCACAAAACCAGAGCAAUCUAUCCAGACCCAGCUUCUGAAACCAUGGAAGGAACCAAUCACUAGUUCUCUUUGGAAUCUAACGAAGAGGUAGUGAAAGCCCCAGGAACACAGGUUCCUCAAUCGCACUGUUAGCAGACGAAGGAUUCUUUUUUCAUGAGCAAUAAACUUUGAGACUAUGCA